GACGUGUCUUGCUUCACGAAAGAGUAGCUGUCAACAGAUCAAAGUACGGAGAAGAAAAAACAGCUGUGAAAGUUGGGAAAAUGGACAUCAGAAGUGAGAAUUCCCAAAUUCCAAAACUCAAAUUUGGAACACAGAGCAAGCAGCUCGGGCUUAUGAGUUUUGCUUUGUAUUGCUUGAGAUGCCCCAAUGCCAUCUUCAAUUUCCUCAAAUCUACAUUUGAAAUUUUGCCGGUAUCCUCACAUUCGCGGCAAGAGAGACAUGCAGCCGCAGCCAAUUUUGCCCUGUAGAAAUACCCACAGGAACGUCAUCUAAAUAAGGGGGAAGAGGAAGAGAUGUUAGGGUACGUUUAAGAAAUUGAAUCUCCAUUCGCCCGAGAAAUUCUGACUGAAUGAAAUGGGUUUUUGCCAGCACGUUGUAAAUGGAAUUUGCUCAGACUCGGAUGUUCUAGAAUUGGCAAAUUCGCCCUUUCCAACCUCUGUACUGCAACAUGGGGUAAUCAUAUUAUAUCAAGUUGAGAGAUAUUUAGGCAUCUGUAAGAUUGAGGAUCAUCCUUUGAGAGGACAUAGAGCUACCUGGAAGGCUUUUGUGAGAGAGUACCUCAUGCCUACCAUUAAUCCAAGGUGGGAGGAUUAACAAAAUCCAAAAAAAUAGUAAUACCCCACCCAAACAGAUGGACACAGAGUUAAAAACACACAACCUUAUAAUCAGGAUAAAACUUAUAAAAAAGGGAAAACCAGCAGAAAGUGAUUAAUGUGGCUGGAGACAACACUGAACGGGCAGAUAAAGCUAUGUAUCAGGUAAGAUUUGUCAGACUAAUAUUUUUUAGGUGUUAGUCGUACUUUGAAUUGCUGUGCUCAUAUGGCGAUCUUGAGGUAAGUCACUUGCCAUGGUUUCAAUAGGUUUUAUUUUUUGGAAUCUGUACAUAGUGGGAUCAUUUUUUUUUUUGUUUUACUCUCUUUCCAGCAUCUAUCUUACUACAAACACAAGUAGAAAAUAUCGUCAAAAUAUUUGAGUCAUGUCAUAAUGCCAAUAAUCCCAAUAAAACCGACUUCAAGCUUUCAUCUAUAACUCUUAUUAGCAAGUAACUCAGACAAAAACUGGUAACCUUGGCUAUGCUUUCCUUACCUUCUGUUUGGAACUUGCUGAGGACUUCCAUAAUACAGAGAGAACCGUUAGACUUCAAGGGCAUGGUAGUGUAAGAUGGUCUCCCUCCACUUUCUCAAUAGCUGUGAUAAGUGGUAGUGUAAAAUGGCCCCCCUGCACUUUCUCCAUAGCUGUGAUAGGUGAUAGUUGAACGAGUCAUCUGAGAAAAAGCCUGCAAAUUACAGAAGCUACUGAAAUCCGACAGUGCAUGGGGACUUAAUGAGGUACCCAUGAGCCCAGCUUCUACUGCUGAGUGGGUUGAGAGGGAGAAUACAAGCCAGCUAUUAUUAUUUCUCUUGUUCAUGGAUUUCACUACCAACCAAGAGGAUCUGAUUAAAUAAAUCAAUUACAUGUUUUCUAGAAAAUUAGUUGGAAAGCUAAAAACUGGAAAACAAAACUAUCCCUAGCUAUAAGACUGAUGACCCGAGGUCAAAAUUCUAAUGUGACCCUAAAGAACAAUUACAAAUGAAUCAAAAUCAAUCUGUUAGAUGACCAGAGCCCAACUCAAAACGAAAACCCCAAUCUGAAAAAUAUUGUCACAGAUAAAUUGACCCAAGGAAUUGCUAAUAAAAUGAUAAGCACAAAAUCAAGAAUUGUCAUGUUGAAAGAGGAAAAUAUUUGUUAACAAAAAGCCUGUCAAACAUUAUUAGAAUCUCCACUUUUUUCUAUUUCACAGCUCCACAACAUCAAUAAAAUGAAAAAUCUUGUUUUUCAUGGAAUUCACCAAUCCAUUUUGUAUGGACCCAAUUUUAUCAAAUAAGAAAAUAAUUUCUAAAUUCUGGCAGUGAGUUCAGUAACCAUGCCA